UACGUAGGGUGCAAGCGUUAAUCGGAAUUACUGGGCGUAAAGCGUGCGCAGGCGGUUCUAUAAGACAGAUGUGAAAUCCCCGGGCUCAACCUGGGAACUGCAUUUGUGACCGUAGAGCUGGAGUACGGUAGAGGGGGAUGGAAUUCCGCGUGUAGCGGUGAAAUGCGCAGAUAUCAGGAAGAACACCCGUGGCUAAGGCGGCUCUCUAGUACGGUACUGACGCUGAGACGCGAAAGCGUGGGGAGCGAACAGG
rnacentral:rRNA from 1 species